UACGUAGGGUGCAAGCGUUGUCCGGAAUUAUUGGGCGUAAAGAGCUCGUAGGCGGUCUGUCGCGUCUGCUGUGAAAACUCAGGGCUUAACCCUGAGCUUGCAGUGGGUACGGGCAGACUAGAGUGCGGUAGGGGAGACUGGAAUUCCUGGUGUAGCGGUGAAAUGCGCAGAUAUCAGGAGGGAACACCGGGUGGGCGAAGGCGGGUCUCUGGGCCGUAACUGACGC
rnacentral:rRNA from 1 species